rnacentral:rRNA from 1 species
CAGCAGCCACGGUAAUACGAAGGGUGCAAGCGUUAAUCGGAAUUACUGGGCGUAAAGGGUGCGUAGGCGGUUGUUUAAGUCUGUUGUGAAAUCCCCCGGCUCAACCGGGGAGGGUCAUUGGAAACUGGGAAACUUGAGUGCAGAAGAGGAGAGUGGAAUUCCCGGUGUAGCGGUGAAAUGCGUAGAGAUGUGGAGGAACACCAGUGGCGAAGGCGACUCUCUGGUCUGUAACUGACGCUGAGGAGCGAAAGCGUGGGGAGCGAACAGGAUUAGAUACCCCCGUAGUCCCUGUCUCUUAUAC